rnacentral:rRNA from 1 species
UACGUAGGGUGCAAGCGGUGUCCGGAAUUAUUGGGCGUAAAGAGCUCGUAGGUGGCCUGUCGCGUCGGCUGUGAAAACUCGGGGCUCAACUCCGAGCUUGCAGUCGAUACGGGCAGGCUAGAGUUCGGCAGGGGAGACUGGAAUCUGGUGUAGCGGUGAAAUGCGCAGAUAUCAGGAGGAACACCGGUGGCGAAGGCGGGUCUCUGGGCCGAUACUGACACUGAGGAGCGAAAGCGUGGGGAGCGAACAGG